rnacentral:rRNA from 1 species
GACGAACGCUGGCGGCGUGCUUAACACAUGCAAGUCGAACGGAAAGGCCCUGCUUUUGUGGGGUGCUCGAGUGGCGAACGGGUGAUUAACACGUGUGUAACCUGCCCUUGACUUUGGGAUAACUUCAGGAAACUGGGGCUAAUACCGGAUAGGAGCUCCUGCUGCAUGGUGGGGGUUGGAAAGUUUCGGCGGUUGGGGAUGGACUCGCGGCUUAUCAGCUUGUUGGUGGGGUAGUGGCUUACCAAGGCUUUGACGGGUAGCAGGCCUGAGAGGGUGACCGGCCACAUUGGGACUGAGAUACGGCCCAGACUCCUACGGGAGGCAGCAGUGGGGAAUAUUGCACAAUGGGCGGAAGCCUGAUGCAGCAACGCCGCGUGCGGGAUGACGGCCUUCGGGUUGUAAACCGCUUUCGCCUGUGACGAAGCGUGAGUGACGGUAAUGGGUAAAGAAGCACCGGCUAACUACGUG